rnacentral:rRNA from 1 species
GUGGAGCAUGUGGCUUAAUUUUGACUCAACGCGGGGAAUCUUACUAGGUCAGGACCAUCGUACCAAGUUCGCGGUGCGUACGUAUGAAUGUCGUAGUGUCGCUACUACACAAUUGUUGGAUGAGUGGUGCAUGGCCGUUCUUAGUUCGUGAUGCAAUUUGUCUACUUAAUUGUUGGUACCGGUGUUUCAUCGCACUGGUACCGUAACGAACGAGACCGUGUUGCGACAUUAUCGUACGUACACAGAGCAACCGCAAACUUGUUAGGAAGGACACGGCAAUAACAGGUCUGUGAUGCCCUCAGAUGUUCUAGGCCGCACACGUGCUACAAUCUAGUUAGUUCCGUAUAUGUAUCACGUGUGUGUAAGAUUCACCGCUGCGAGUCGAACCAACGCUACGACGGUUGGGAUCACCGUUUGUAAUUAUUCGGUAUCACAACUAGGAAUGCCUCGUACGGUGCAGUUCAACAGAUUCCCUGGAAUCCGUCCCUGCCCUUUGUACACACCGCCCGUCGCUCUUACCGAUGGUGGUGGGUUCGAGUUGUGACGAAUGAUGUCUCGUAUAUUGUGAAUCGCCACGAGAACCCACCGCUAAAGGAAAGAGAAGUCGUAACAAGGCAUCG